UACGAAGGGGGCUAGCGUUGUUCGGAAUUACUGGGCGUAAAGGGCGCGUAGGCGGUGUGUCAAGUCAGGCGUGAAAGCCCCGGGCUCAACCUGGGAACUGCGCUUGAGACUGGCACGCUCGAGUUCGGGAGAGGAUGGUGGAAUUCCCAGUGAUAGAGGUGAAAUUCGUAGAUAUUAGGAAGAACACCAGUGGCGAAGGCGGCUCGACUGGCCCGGUACUGGACGCUGAGACGCGAAAGCGUGGGGGAGCAAACAGG
rnacentral:rRNA from 1 species